rnacentral:rRNA from 1 species
GAACCACCCGGAUUGCCUCAGUAACGGCGAGUGAAGCGGCAACAGCUCAAAUUUGAAAUCUGGCCCUAGCGCCCGAGUUGUAAUUUGCAGAGGAUGCUUUUGGCAAGGUGCCUUCCGAGUUCCCUGGAACGGGACGCCAUAGAGGGUGAGAGCCCCGUACGGUCGGUUGCCGAGCCUCUGUAAAGCUCCUUCGACGAGUCGAGUAGUUUGGGAAUGCUGCUCUAAAUGGGAGGUAAACCCCUUCUAAAGCUAAAUAUUGGCCAGAGACCGAUAGCGCACAAGUAGAGUGAUCGAAAGAUGAAAAGCACUUUGAAAAGAGAGUUAAAUAGCACGUGAAAUUGUUGAAAGGGAAGCGCUUGUGACCAGACUUGUGCCUGGCAGCUCAGCCGUCCUUUUGGGCGGUGCAUUCUGCCGGCUCAGGCCAGCAUCAGUUCGUGGUUGGGGAGAAAGGCGGUGGGAACGUGGCUCUUCGGAGUGUUAUAGCCCGCCGCUAUGCCCUUCUGCGGACUGAGGUUCGCGCUCUGCAAGGAUGCUGGCGUAAUGGUCAUCAGCGACCGUCUUGAAACACGGACCAAGGAGUCGUCCUAAUAUGCGAGUGUUCGGGUGCCAAACCCCUGCGCGUAAUGAAAGGAACGGAGGUGAGAGCUUCGGCGCAUCAUCGACCGAUCCUGAUGUUCUCGGAUGGAUUUGAGUAAGAGCAUAUUGGGCCGGACCCGAAAGAAGAUGAACUAUGCGUGGAUAGGGUAAAGCCACAAGAAACUCUGGUGGAGCUCGCACGGUCUGACGUGCAAAUCGAUCGUCAAAUCUGCGCAUGGGGGCGAAAGACUAAUCGAAUCUUCUAGUA